rnacentral:lncRNA from 1 species
AAAAUAUGUAUAUAUGUGGUUACCUGUAAGAUCAACUAUAUUUUGGUCUGGAAACUUGAAAAGUUCAACCGUAUUAACUUUAUAAAGUCUUUGAGUCACUCUAAGUGACCAGCUCUUUGAAAGUAGAUGUGUUAAGUGGGUUAAUUUAUGAUCAGAAAUCUGUAUUUUAUUGUAUAAAAUGCUGUGUUUAUGAAUCCUAUGAAUUUGUAUCAUAAUUUACACUUUGAGAGGCUUGUAAGUUAAGUUGUCAUGUGGUUUUAGGUUAAUAUAGGGUCCAUCUUAGGGAAAGAAAAGGGAAGGUAGUUCCAAAAGGGAAAGAUACUGCAAUGGCUGCUUAACAAACAUUGGGAAGAAAGGCAAGAGAGUAAAAAACAUUCCACUACCCAUGGAGGUAUCCUAAAUCACUGAGGAACAAACCUUGUUAAGGAGAACCUCCUUGUUAAGAAAAGAAUCCUCAGUGUCUUGAGUGUUUCCAACAAAAAUAUUGAGCUGGCCUAUGUUGGUAAUGGCAGUGACUGCUGUCAUUUAUGGUGUCAGUAGACAGGCCCCAUGACACACUACACCAGAGCAACUGUCUUUGAGUGCCUGCUCAGAGGAACUUACCUUGCACUGAAGAGUGUGCAUGGGCCCAGCACAGGUGUUGCUGUAUGCAGACAGUUCUUUAGGGUUCCAAACUGUAUUUUUGGUACGAAUGAAAUUCAUCACCAUGGGGUCGUUUGGCUUUUUUUUUUUCUUUGUUGCAUUUUUUUUUGUUUCAUUUCUUAAUGUAACAUAAAAUGUUUUCUUCUGUGUUAUCAGUGUCUACUGAAAGUGGGCAAUCUGGCUACUUAAGCAACACAUUUGCAGGCAGGCAGGUCACGUUCCAAUUUAGCCUUUUCUCUCUACCUGUGGAAAUGAAAUAGCCCUGUGUUUUGGUUGCCACUUAAUAAUCGGGUAUAGAUUUGAUAAUGUUCCUUCUGACUACAUUAGCUUUUAACAGUUUAUGUCAAAGACAGCACUUUUCAUAAAUUCUUUCCAAGUCAAGUCAAGUUGGUUUGGCGACUCUUAGAACUGGAAGGUUUUUUGUUGUUGUUGUUGUUGUUGUUUUGUCCUCUUCUGUAUUUUCUCUCCUAUUUAUGACAUGUCUGGUCUAUGAGCUCAAGCCUUUGUUUUACGUACUCACAGGAAAGCAGCAUGCUAUGAAUUACUAGGUCCAUCUCACUCAGAUAUGCUAACCACAUGUAUUUGUUGAAGAUAGCAGAGUUAACUAGGCGUCAGUGGAAUCUAUUCCUUACAUCCAAAUAAACUGUAAAGGAAAUAAAAAGUGAAACUACAGGGCAGUUGCCACUACGGAGGAUCCUUCUUCAAAGACAGAUCUUGUGUUGUUUGGGAAGCAAAGCUUAAUUUUUAGUAAAUUUGUUUCUAAUAUGUAAUCAUAUUUAUAUUUUUAUUCAAUAAAGAGAUAUAUGGAAAUAAUGUUACUGGCCUUGUUGGGUAAGUUUUAGGUGCUUUGGCCUUACCUUAUUAGAAUUUCUCCUGAGAGUUGACCUUAAAAUCUAUCACAUCUGUUUCUCUUCUUUUCGUGAGCAAUUGUCUCCACUUUUCAAAUGUAACAUAAGGGCUAAUGAUCACAUCAUAUGUAUUUUGAGUAACAAUUAAAAUAGUUUUACAAGUCCAGUAAAAUAUGCCCCUUGUGUGUCUUCUUUAUUCUCAGAAAUGUAAAGUUAUUCCGAUGAAAUAAAUCAAGUACUUUAUUCGUUUUUUUCUGUUUUAAAAAUCGAAUGUGAUACAAUACUUCUGUCUUCCAUCAUUUUAAAAAUACCUAAGAAUAAAUGUUAUUUUAUUUUAAAGUCUGAA